rnacentral:lncRNA from 10 species
GUAUUUCUUUAUAGCAGUGUGAGAAUGGACUAAUACAGCAUGUAACCUGCUAGUGGACUUCUUCAUUCAGAAGGAUUCCUUUGAGAUCCAUCCAAGUCAUUUCUGUAUUAAUAGUUUUUUUUUUUUUUGACAUGGAGUCUUGCUCUGUCAUCAAGCUGGAGUGCAGUGGCACCAUCUCUGGCUCACUGUGACCUCUGCCUCCUGAGUUCACACCAUUCUCCUGCCUCAGCCUCCUGAGUAGCUGGGACUACAGGCAUGUACCACCACACCCACCUAAUUUUUGUAUUUUUAGUAGAGACGGGGUUUCGCCAUGUUUGCCAGGAUGGUCUCGAUCUCUUGACCU